rnacentral:rRNA from 1 species
UACAGAGGUCCCAAGCGUUGUUCGGAUUCAUUGGGCGUAAAGGGAGCGUAGGCGGUUCGGCAAGUCUUUAGUGAAAUCUCUGGGCUCAACUCAGAGUCUGCUGGAGAAACUGCCGGGCUGGAGUAUGGGAGAGGUGAGUGGAAUUCCCGGUGUAGCGGUGAAAUGCGUAGAUAUCGGGAGGAACAUCAGUGGCGAAGGCGACCGCCUGGCCCAACACUGACGCUGAGGUGCGAAAGCGUGGGUAGCAAACAGG